AGUGUUCCCUCUGCUUUUCUCCCCUCCUAAACCAGGACAUUGUUAUCCAGCCAGAAGAUAAUAUCCGACUGAAGAUUGUGGGGACCCGGGUGGACAAGAAUGAUAUAUUUGCCAUUGGAUCCCUGAUGGACGACUACCUGGGUCUCCUGAACUGAAAGGCCCGUUUCUGUUCUUCUGUUCAGCUCCAUGGCCGUUCCUCCCUAAGGAAAGGUUGGCUGGCUGUGUUUUAUUGGAAAGGGUAACCAUUUGCAGCAAUCCUAAUGAGUGAGGAGCGUUUUUGGAGGUCCUUUGGAGUCUCCCUGUUGUUUCUUGCUGGAAUGGAAUGUCCCUGUAAGGUCCUUUUUUGGUCAUUAAACGUUUUCCUGUUCUCUU